rnacentral:rRNA from 1 species
GACGAACGCUGGCGGCGUGCUUAACACAUGCAAGUCGAACGAAGUGGCGAACGGGUGAGUAAUACGUGAGUAACCUGCCCUCCUUUUUGGGAUAAGCCUUGGAAACGGGGUCUAAUACCGAAUAAAGGUGGAUGGGCUCGCGGCCUAUCAGCUUGUUGGUGGGGUGAUGGCCUACCAAGGCGGUGACGGGUAGCCGGCCGGAGAGGGGGACCUGCCACAUGGGGACUGGGUUACGGCCCAGACUCCUACGGGGGGCAGCGGGGGGGGUUAUGGCACAAUGUGCGCAAGCCUGAUGCGGCGGCGUCGGGUGGGGGAUGUAGGCUUUCGGGUUGUAAACCGCUUUGACCCAUGACGCGGUAGUGGCAGAAGAAGCACCGGCUAACUACGUGCCAGCAGCCGCGGUAAUAC